rnacentral:rRNA from 1 species
UGAGGAAUAUUGCGCAAUGGCCGAAAGGCUGACGCAGCGACGCCGCGUGAAGGAUGAAGUCCGUUAGGAUGUAAACUUCUUUUGCAGGGGAUGAAUGUGGUGCUAUAUGCGCCAUUGACCGUACCUUGCGAAUAAGGAUCGGCUAACUACGUGCCAGCAGCCGCGGUAAUACGUAGGAUCCAAGCGUUGUCCGGAUUUACUGGGUGUAAAGGGCGUGUAGGUGGAUUCUUAAGUCGGUGGUGAAAUCUUGCAGCUUAACUGCAAAACUGCCAUUGAUACUGGGAAUCUUGAGUGCGGCAGAGGGAAAUGGAAUUCAUGGUGUAGCGGUGAAAUGUGUAGAUAUCAUGAAGAACACCGGUAGCGAAGGCGGUUUCCUGGUCCGUAACUGACACUGAGGCGCGAAAGCGUGGGGAGCAAACAGGAUUAGAUACCCCGGUAGUCCCUGAGCGGGCUGGCAAGGCGCAU